AGCAUGGCCAGAAGAUCAUGUGUGCCAAGUUUCGAGAUGAUUGGACAAGAUUUGUGAUAGAAGUAGCACUUUGAAGGUUUUUGACAUAAACCAAGAUGGCGGACAUAUACGUCAUGGCGCAAUGACGUCAUGGGGUGUGUUGAACUGGGCUUGGUUCAAGGAAUCCAAUGAUACCUGGUAUGUGAAAAUUGGUCGAAUAGGUCGAAAGUUAUGAACAUGAAUGCAUGCCAAACUUUGACCUGUUGGUGGCGCUAGAGCUGUUGGGCUAGUGACCUGAGAUUGGCUCAAUAAGCUAAUGGGGCUGUCCUGAACCAGUAUGCCAAAUUUCACAACUUUUCACCAAGCGGUUCUAUGGGCUGCCAUUGACUCCAAUGGCAGCAUAAUAAUAAUAAUAAUAAUAAGAAUUCGUACGAAAACAAUAGGUUGUCUCGCAACAUAGUUGCUUGACACCCAAU
ensembl:lncRNA